rnacentral:rRNA from 1 species
AUGAACGCUGGCGGCGUGCCUAAUACAUGCAAGUCGAGCGAACGGACGAGAAGCUUGCUUCUCUGAUGUUAGCGGCGGACGGGUGAGUAACACGUGGAUAACCUACCUAUAAGACUGGGAUAACUUCGGGAAACCGGAGCUAAUACCGGAUAAUAUUUUGAACCGCAUGGUUCAAAAGUGAAAGACGGUCUUGCUGUCACUUAUAGAUGGAUCCGCGCUGCAUAGCUAGUUGGUAAGGUAACGGCUUACCAAGGCAACGAUGCAUAGCCGACCUGAGAGGGUGAUCGGCCACACUGGAACUGAGACACGGUCCAGACUCCUACGGGAGGCAGCAGUAGGGAAUCUUCCGCAAUGGGCGAAAGCCUGACGGAGCAACGCCGCGUGAGUGAUGAAGGUCUUCGGAUCGUAAAACUCUGUUAUUAGGGAAGGACAUAUGUGUAAGUAACUGUGCACAUCUUGACGGUACCUAAUCAGAAAGCCACGGCUAACUACGUG